UACGUAGGGUGCAGGCGUUAAUCGGAAUUACUGGGCGUAAAGCGUGCGCAGGCGGUUUCUUAAGUCAGAUGUGAAAGCCCCGGGCUUAACCUGGGAACUGCGUUUGAAACUGGGAGACUUGAGUGUGGCAGAGGGGGGGUGGAAUUCCACGUGUAGCAGGUGAAAUGCGUAGAUAUGUGGAGGAACACCAAUGGCGAAGGCAGCCCCCUGGGUCAACACUGACGCUCAUGCACGAAAGCGUGGGGAGCAAACAGG
rnacentral:rRNA from 1 species